rnacentral:misc_RNA from 1 species
GAUGAAGAACGUAGCGAAAUGCGAUACGUAAUGUGAAUUGCAGAAUUCAGUGAAUCAUCGAAUCUUUGAACGCACAUUGCGCCCGCCAGCAUUCUGGCGGGCAUGCCUGUUCGAGCGUCAUUUCAACCCUCGAGCCCCCCCGGGGGCCUCGGUGUUGGGGGACGGCACACCAGCCGCCCCCGAAAUGCAGUGGCGACCCCGCCGCAGCCUCCCCUGCGUAGUAGCACACACCUCGCACCGGAGCGCGGAGGCGGUCACGCCGUAAAACGCCCAACUUUCUUAGAGUUGACCUCGGAUCAGGUAGGAAUACCCGCUGAACUUAAGCAUAUCAAUAAGCGGAGGA